AGAAAUGAGGAAUGAACAUGGACUUCUUGUGCCCCAAAAGAAAAGACAGAAAGCUCCUAAAAUGAGCAAAUAAGCUGUGCAUCAUCUCUGGUGUUUGGGAAGGAAAUGACUGAAUAUGAUGAAGCCAGUUGAUGAAGAUAUCAAUUGAAUGUCCACCGAGUGCAUCACUGCUACCUGAACCCAUCAGUUAUCUUCUGUGAAGACUGCAUUCACAAACCGCUCUACUGCGACAGCUCAGAUGUUACGGUCCGUAAAAGUAAACAUCACAGCUAAACAACGAGAGCUAGUUGUGGUGGGAUUCUUUUGGCCAAUAUCCCCAACAAGAAUCAAUGUUAAGUCCAGUGCAACAAUUAUAAAUAAAAAUACUAUAUAUUGUUUAUUGAUUUACCAUACCCUAAAUACAUGUUUUGGCCCUCCAGGACAUCUAGACCAGGUGGAGUGUGAGGAGGACCGUCAGAGACUCCAGCCAGCCGAGCCAUGGAUUGCUCUCACUGUUACCAUCAGGCAGACGUUAUCACAGAACCUACACCAGCAGACAGUGAGACAAGUUCCUUUCACAGGCAAUCAGACUGAACUGAACUCAUACCAGUAAAACCAUACACACCCCACCAACCUCAUAUGCCCUGCACUCUUAUCAGUUAUGCUGACAGGACUCAAUACUAUUAUGCACCCUGACAUUCUGUUUGCACUAAUUCAUACC